AGAGCGAACGCUGGCGGCAGGCCUAAUACAUGCAAGUCGAGCGCACCUUCGGGUGAGCGGCGGACGGGUGAGUAACGCGUGGGAAUGUGCCCUUUGGUACGGAACAACUGAGGGAAACUUCAGCUAAUACCGUAUGUGCCCUUCGGGGGAAAGAUUUAUCGCCAUUGGAGCAGCCCGCGUUGGAUUAGGUAGUUGGUGAGGUAAAGGCUCACCAAGCCUACGAUCCAUAGCUGGUCUGAGAGGAUGAUCAGCCACACUGGGACUGAGACACGGCCCAGACUCCUACGGGAGGCAGCAGUAGGGAAUCUUGCGCAAUGGGCGAAAGCCUGACGCAGCCAUGCCGCGUGAAUGAUGAAGGUCUUAGGAUUGUAAAAUUCUUUCACCGGGGAAGAUAAUGACGGUACCCGGAGAAGAAGCCCGGCUAACUCGUGCCAGCAGCCGC
rnacentral:rRNA from 1 species